rnacentral:lncRNA from 1 species
GCUAGUCGCUAGUGCCUCGGUGCUCGGUUCACAGACCACAGUUCCGCAAUCGGUCAAUCGUCAAUUUUCAUACUCUUUCGGCUGCUGAUUUUAGUCUUUAAUUGAUUUCCUGUCAAUUUCAGAUUCAGGUAUGUACAACUAUAAACUAUUUCUUUUUUCCCCAAUCUCCAAUUUGUAACCCUAGGUUUUACAAUUAAUUCCUAGCUUAUUAAUUAAUUGUAGGAUUUGAUGGAUAAGUGGGUGAUUAAAAGGCCCAGGUCACCUUCUGCUCGUAAUCAAGUUCAUAUCCAGGCUCAGGCUCCCACUUUAAAUUCAGCUGCUGAUGAUAAUAUUAGCCCUUCUGGUUCUGGUUCCCUGCCAGAAAAUCUUGCUGCUGGUUCUGGUUCCCUACCAGAAAAUCCUGCUGUUGAGAAGGCUGGUAUGGAUUUUAAUCCCAAUGAUAUUAUCUCUGAUCCAGGGGAUCGAAUUCCUAUUGAUAGUUAUAAUGCUAAUAUUAGAGAUCAAGUUCGUAGAGCAUAUCUUUUUAAGGGAGCUUAUCAACCAUCCAAUUACACUUUUCCAAAACAGUGAGCUGCUUACUUGCAUUGCCUCUCUUGAUCCCCGAAAUUCUUUUUUGGAUUUUGAUCAUGCAAAGCUUCUUCGAUUAGCACAGUUUUAUCCAAAUGAUUUCUCGUUAAUGGAUCAAGAACUGUUGAGUACUCAGUUAAACAACUUCAUCUUUGAUGUCCGAAGCGAUAAACAUAUUUCAGAACUUAAGAAUAUAGGGGAGCUUGCAAUUAAAAUGGUGAAGACUCGUAGACAUACAGCUUAUCCUCUUGUUUAUCGAUUGAUUGAGUUAGCUCUUGUUUUGCCUAUUGCGACAGCUACCGUUGAGAGAGUAUUCUCGGCAAUGAAAAUUGUGAAGUCU